UGCAAGCGUUAAUCGGAAUUACUGGGCGUAAAGCGUGCGUAGACGGUUACAUAAGUCGGGUGUGAAAGCCCCGGGCUCAACCUGGGAAUUGCAUUCGAGACUGCGUAGCUAGGGUGCGGAAGAGGGAAGCGGAAUUUCCGGUGUAGCGGUGAAAUGCGUAGAUAUCGGAAGGAACACCAGUGGCGAAAGCGGCUUCCUGGUCCAGCACCGACGUUCAGGCACGAAAGCGUGGGGAGCAAACAGG
rnacentral:rRNA from 1 species